GUGCUCACUUCGGCAGCUCAUAUACAAAAAUUGGAACAAUACAGAGAAGUUUUGCAUGGCCCCUGUGUAAGGAUGACAUGCAAAUUCGUGAAGCAUUUACCUCAAAG